rnacentral:rRNA from 1 species
UGGAUCGUACAUACUACAUGGAUAACUGUAGUAAUUCUAGAGCUAAUACAUGCCACUAAGCCCUGACCCGCAAGGGGACGGGUGGAUUUAUUAGAACAGAACCAACCGGUUGUGGCUUCGGUCAUGGCCGUUGUACUCUGUGAUGACUCUGGAUAACUUUACUGAUCGCAGUCGGCCUUGUGUCGGCGACGGAUCUUUCAAAUGUCUGCCCUAUCAAUUGUCGAUGGUAGGUGACCUGCCUACCAUGGUGAUAACGGGUAACGGGGAAUCAGGGUUCGAUUCCGGAGAGGGAGCCUGAGAAACGGCUACCACUUCUAAGGAAGGCAGCAGGCACGCAAAUUACCCAAUCCCGGCACGGGGAGGUAGUGACGAUAAAUACGGAUACGGGACUCAAAAGAGGCUCCGUAAUUCGAAUGAGUACAAUUUAAAUCCUUUAACGAGGACCAACUGGAGGGCAAGUCUGGUGCCAGCAGCCGCGGUAACUCCAGCUCCAGAAGCGUAUAUUAAAGUUGUUGCAGUUAAAAAGCUCGUAGUUGGAUCUGGGUCGCAUGGCUACGCGCCGUUGCUUGUGAUCUCGGUUUGGUUACGACCGGAUUGAGUUCAUGAGUCGGUGUAGUGGUUGUGCAGCCUUUCUGCCGUGUCUGUUUUACAGGUGCUGGCGGAUUGUUGGGUUCGCCCUUCAGUCUGUCGGCAUGCUUCCGAAUGCCUUUAAACGGGUGUUGGGGGCGGACGGCACGUUUACUU